rnacentral:rRNA from 1 species
GACGAACGCUGGCGGCACGCUUAACACAUGCAAGUCGAACGAGAGAAGAGAAGCUUGCUUUUCUGAUCUAGUGGCGGACGGGUGAGUAACACGUGAGCAAUCUGCCUUUCAGAGGGGGAUACCGAUUGGAAACGAUCGUUAAUACCGCAUAACAUAAUUGAACCGCAUGAUUUGAUUAUCAAAGAUUUAUCGCUGAAAGAUGGGCUCGCGUCUGAUUAGCUAGUUGGUAAGGUAACGGCUUACCAAGGCGACGAUCAGUAGCCGGACUGAGAGGUUGAUCGGCCACAUUGGGACUGAGACACGGCCCAGACUCCUACGGGAGGCAGCAGUGGGGAAUAUUGCACAAUGGAGGAAACUCUGAUGCAGCGAUGCCGCGUGAGGGAAGAAGGUUUUAGGAUUGUAAACCUCUGUCUUCAGGGACGAAAAAAGACGGUACCUGAGGAGGAAGCUCCGGCUAACUACGUG